rnacentral:rRNA from 1 species
AUUGAACGCUGGCGGCAGGCCUAACACAUGCAAGUCGAGCGGAUGAAGGGAGCUUGCUCCUGGAUUCAGCGGCGGACGGGUGAGUAAUGCCUAGGAAUCUGCCUUGUAGUGGGGGAUAACGUCCGGAAACGGGCGCUAAUACCGCAUACGUCCUGAUGGAGAAAGUCGUGGAUCUUCGGACCUCACGCUAUCAGAUGAGCCUAGGUGGGAUUAGCUAGUUGGUGGGGUAAAGGCCUACCAAGGCGACGAUCCGUAACUGGUCUGAGAGGAUGAUCAGUCACACUGGAACUGAGACACGGUCCAGACUCCUACGGGAGGCAGCAGUGGGGAAUAUUGGACAAUGGGCGAAAGCCUGAUCCAGCCAUGCCGCGUGUGUGAAGAAGGUCUUCGGAUUGUAAAGCCCUUUAAGUUGGGAGGAAGGGCAGUAAGUUAAUACCUUGCUGUUUUGACGUUACCAACAGAAUAAGCACCGGCUAACUUCGUG